rnacentral:rRNA from 1 species
AUAGCCCGUCCGGCUUUUGCUGGUCGCCGGCUUUUUAGAGGGGCUGUCAGCGUUUAGAUGACGGAAAUUUGAGGCAAAAACAGGUUUGUGAUGCCCCUAGAUGUUUUGGGCCGCACGCGCGCUACACUGACAGAGCCAGCGAGUUUUUUUUCCUUGGCCGAAAAGUCAUGGGUAAUCUUGUGAAACUCUGUCGUGCUGGGGAUAGAGCAUUGCAAUUAUUGCUCUUCAACGAGGAAUUCCUAGUAAGCGUGAGUCAUCAGCUCGCGUUGAUUACGUCCCCUGCCCCUUACAACCGCCC